rnacentral:lncRNA from 1 species
UCUUAGCCUUGAGGAAAGGUCAUUUUCCUAGAUAGACACAGGGAUCCAGAAUUUGAAUCCUGGUCUUGGUGCAUUAUGUGAUAUGCUAUGCUAGUGCUUCUGGAUAUGACAGUUGGUAUAUGGGGGUUGAAGUAACUGAAAGAUAAAAUAAUGGUUUCAUUCAAACAUAUCUAGGCAGUAUAUAUGUGAUUCCUACACUUUUAGAAAACAAAGUUCCAAAGGGUUCUUUGGCUGUCCCCAUAAGAGAACCCUUUUUGGUUCCAGAUAGAACCCUUUUUUGGGAGAACUGUUUUUGGUUCCAGGUAUAACUCUUUUGGGUUCCAUGUAGAACCCUCUGUGUAAAGGGUACAUGGAACUCAAAAAGGUUCUAUCUGGAACCAAAAUGGUUCUACCUGGAAUCAAAAAGGGUUCUUCAAAGGGUUCUCUUAUGGGGACAGCCAAAUAACCCUUUUUGGUUCUAGAUAGCACCUUUUUUUUCUAAGAGUGUAGCCUGAAGGAUAUAAUAACUUGAUGCAGUUUUGUGUUUUUUGUUAUGUGAUUUUAGCCUACGUGUGGGUUUCUUCAUAAGAAUAAUAGUCAUACUGUGGGGGAGGGUUUGGUUUGAGGGGAGAUUUUGUAUCUUUCCAACAGACAGGCAGGCUGCUUUUCGUUGUAACAGAGCCGACUUGCCACAUGGACAGGAAGUGAAACCAUGGCGAUGGAGAGUUUUCCAGUCGUCUGUUUCCUCCUGUAAUGCACAGCGUUGAGAUUGCCUGCAAUGACAACAAGCUCAGUCCGAUGAUGCUGUGACACACCGCCACAGACCAUGACGGACCCUUAAACUAGCCAGCAGCAUACCACCCUGCAUACCACUGCUGGCUUGUUUUUGAAGCUAAGCAGGGUUGGUUCUGGUCAGUCCCUGGAUGGGAGCCCAGAUAUGGCUGGAAGUGGUGUUGGAGGACCAGUAGGAGGCACUCUUUCCUCUGGUCUAAAAAAUAUCCCAAUACCACAGGGCAGUGAUUGGGGACACUGCCCUGUGUAGGUUGCUGUCUUUUGGAUGGGAUGUUAAACGGGUGUCCUGACUCUCUAAGGUCAUUAAACAUCCCAUGGCACUUAUUGUAAGAGUAGGGAAUGGUAACCUGGCUAAAUUCCCAAUCUGGCCUUCAAACCAUCACAGUCACCUAAUAAUCCCCAGUUUACAAUAGGCUCAUUCAUAUCCUGUAACUAUUCCCCAAGUUGUUACUGUAAAUGAGAAUGUGUUCUCACUCAACUUACCUGGUAAAAUAAUGGAUAAAUAAAAAAUUAAUAAAAUGAAAAACCCUCCAAAUCGCUCCAGAGUACAGGCCUUGGUGUAAUGCUCAUUCCUUUGACGAUAAACGCGAAUCCGAGCAUCACCUCUGGUGAGACAAAACCAUGACUCGUCAGUGAAGAGCACUUUUUGCCAGUCCUGUCUGGUCCAGCGACGGUGGGUUUGUACCCAUAGGCGACGGUGAUGUCUGGUGAGGACCUGCCUUACCACAGAAUUCAGAAUGGUACA